ensembl:snRNA U6 U6 spliceosomal RNA
GUGCUCAUUUUGGUAGCACAUAUACUAAAAAUUAGAAUGAUACAGAGAAGAUUAGAAUGGCCUCUUUGCGAGGAUGACAUGCAAAUUUGUGAACUAUCUCAUAUUUUU